GAUGAACGCUGGCGGCGUGCCUAAUACAUGCAAGUCGAGCGAACAGACGAGGAGCUUGCUCCUCUGAUGUUAGCGGCGGACGGGUGAGUAACACGUGGAUAACCUACCUAUAAGACUGGGAUAACUUCGGGAAACCGGAGCUAAUACCGGAUAACAUGAUGAACCGCAUGGUUCAACAGUGCAAGACGGUCUUGCUGUCACUUAUAGAUGGAUCCGCGCCGCAUUAGCUAGUUGGUAAGGUAACGGCUUACCAAGGCAACGAUGCGUAGCCGACCUGAGAGGGUGAUCGGCCACACUGGAACUGAGACACGGUCCAGACUCCUACGGGAGGCAGCAGUAGGGAAUCUUCCGCAAUGGGCGAAAGCCUGACGGAGCAACGCCGCGUGAGUGAAGAAGGUCUUCGGAUCGUAAAACUCUGUUAUUAGGGAAGAACAAAUGUGUAAGUAACUAUGCACGUCUUGACGGUACCUAAUCAGAAAGCCACGGCUAACUACGUG
rnacentral:rRNA from 1 species